GGCGUGUUGGCGGAGUGGUCUAACGCGCUAGACUUGAAUUCAUCCGAUUCAGGCAUCUAGUUCCUUCGGGAGCGCAUGUUCGAACCAUGCACACGUCG